GAUUAAGUGGAGAAUUUUUUUUAAUAUACCCCUAGGUAUAAAAGUGGGAAAAAUAAGAAAACGCAUCCAGAGUUCGAAUGGGACAAUGAUAAUAGUAUUUUGUCAACCCAAGCUAAUAAUACAAUAUGCGCUUAAUAUAGUGCAGAGUUCUAGCAGAGCUUAGUAUUCAAAGCAAACUAUUAAAACAAAUCUUUUUUCGGAAUUGUAUAGUCUCCCGUACUGAUUUAAUAAAGCCUUUAUUAGGAAGUCUACAAAAGAAAUGUAAAUAACAGUAAAUAUCUAGUUAGUUCAUUCACAAUGAGAUCGCAAGCCAUUAAAUGUAAAGCCUCAUGGAGCAUUAUCUAGAUGCCAAGUUGAUGCAAUUCUACCACUUACCUGCUGCUCUUUAGUUAAAUAAAUAUUUUUAUUCUGAGCCAUUAAAAUUAGUAUGCUGAAUAUCAGAGCAUAAGGUGGUUCGUAUUCAAGGGAACCAAAAACCCUCCAUCUGAAAGGUGCGUGCGUGUGUGGACCACAAAUCAUAUUUCCCCGGCUGACAGCUCAUCUGCGUUGACCGUGAAUAAAGCUUAAAUGGGAUUGGGCCCUAGGUCAAUACAUAUUUUUGAUAAUUGGCAUUGAUAAAAAUAGGUGCGAGUAGUCAGAGUGCCGUAGUGAGUAGGACGAUUAUCUAUGUUUCGUGAAUCAUUAAUCGGGUGUGACGAAUCCACUUGGGCUGAUGAUGGAAACUGCAUUAGCUUGCACCUAAAUCUGGCACAUUGUCAUGGCAGCAAUUGGGCAAGUCGUAACGAAUAGUGACAUUCGUUUGACUUCAGCUCAUCAUCAUCAGCUCGUCGUUGUGAUAGGGUGGGAGGGGUCUGGGGUUGUGGCCACGCAAGUGUACAAUUGAGAGCAAACAAUUCAAACGCCUGUAUACAUUAAGGCCAAAAAUAGAUAUCUGAUUAGUGGCGGCUACGUCACCAGGUGGGGCUGUUCAGUUCGACCAUCGACAGAGCUACCACAGAUUUAUGGGCGGGGUGUGUCUGCUUCAAUGUUCUCGGGUCUCAUAUAGACCAGCCAUAUAGCCAGAGCGCAGUGCGGCGCACUCCAACGAUCUCAGUCGGAUGUAGACAACAAUCGGCCGCAGAACAGAACACAUCAUAAGGUAGACAGUUUUUUGCUGGGGCAUGUACCCCGUGCAUCGACACUACCUACCUGCGGUACCUGACCUCCAGAGAUUCCGGGCGACAUGUAGAUGACGGGAAGCAAGCAGCGGCGGUGCAAGUUUAGCAGUAGCAGGAAGAUUGUGGCAAGAAGGACAUUUGGCAGUUGUAAAAAACAAGUUUCCAAUCGUUAUGCAUUUUGCUUGGAUUUAUUUAUAGACGCGGUAUUGGUUUUAAGUAUUAAAUACAUGAGAGAUACAAUUAAACAACAAAAGAGUGUACGCGAGUGUUGGUUCUUACCAAAUAAUCAAAUGGAAACAAAUCAAUUAAACUUCAAAGUCAUCGUAAAGUGAUCGAACAUAAAAAAACAUAUCGGGUAAACAUAAACAUGACAGAUAAGACUUAAAACAAAGGUCGCAUGAGUUUUUAUGAUUAAUUUUUUAGUAAAGCUUCUCGCCACAAAGGAAAACAUGUAACAAAGAGUAUUAAAAUUGGCGGCAAAAGCAGCAUUUACUUUCGAGAUUCGUUUGGAUUUUGUACACGAAAUGUAUGAUUGAUUGGUGACGAUCGAGAAAGAAAGUGUGUGACAAAUAAUAGAGUAACGAAACGAAUUAGUAAAAAGCGGUAAUAAAAAAUGAAUAAUAAAAUCUCAUGCAACAUCACUACAAAAUAAAUAAAAUUCUAUUAAAUUAAAUUCAAUUAAAGUAAACAAUACAAUAAUCAUUUUAACAUCGUCUACUAUCGGAGUCAUCAUAGAUGGACUGCAGGACCGGAUCGUACGACUGUCUGUUCGAAGUUGCUGAGGGGACUACGGAAUCUUAACCAUUGCUUAAAAGCCGAAAUCUGCCUGGCAGCUAAAUAUAAACCUUCGGGCAACUAUGAAUCACAGAGGCCCGCGGCUUGAUGACUGAACAGCCGUAACUGAUUAAUCUAAUUAAAUUCUUUUCUGCACCAUAAACAGAAUCAUCAAUUCAUGUUCUUCUCUAAUGAUCAAGAGGAUGAGUCGCCCGACUAACAUCGGUAUAUUUCUCAUCUCUGCCUGAUCCACCUUAUAGACAGCAGUAGCAACAACAAAAGGUAAUUUAUCAUUAUGUUUUCUUCUAGAACCUAGAAGCUAGUACCUAAACCAUCCACGUAUGCCUAAGCAAAUACAUUUAUUCGGUUUCGGUGUUUUUGUGUUUUAUUGAAAGAAAAUUGAAAUAAAUUUCAAGAUUUACUUGAGAAAAUA